rnacentral:tRNA from 1 species
GCGGAUAUGGCGGAAUUGGCAGACGCGCAGGCUUCAGGUGCCUGUGAUAGCAAUAUCGUGCAGGUUCAAGUCCUGUUAUCCGCACCA